UAACCAAUGGGAUUAGAGGGAGAGGAGGGCACCGCAUUCCCAGGGGGUCAGCAGGGAAGGGACCGAAGGCUCAAAACCUGCCUUGAAGGCUGGCUACGGUGGUGUGAAACAAGGAGACAUGGCAGGAGGAACCCAUAGGCAAGGAGAAGGAGGGAUACGCACCCAGGCACUGAUCCUGUCUGCUGAGAUAACCCAGCUGGUGUCCAGAAGAAUGGAGAGCAGCUUCAUGCAGGAGACCAGAGAGGGCCAUCUCAGCAGCAGUGGAGCCUUGGCCAUGCGAGGCAGCGCCAUGCAGGUUUUACAAGCCAGUGUUCUGGUGCUGGCAGAGUGAGAGGAUUAAAGCACAUCAUCAUUUUCAUUUUACUCUCUGAAUCAUGUCAGUGAGAAACCAUCUAUUGCUGGAUCUAAAACUCACUCUGCCUCACUCUGCCCCUGCCCUGGAAACCUUACAGGAACAGGAAUGAAUGAUGGCACAGCCUGAAUACCCAGCUUUCCUCUUUGAUUAGCUGGAAGCAGAAGAGUCCAGUGUUUUCAGAGGCAGGACAGGGGAGGGUGGAGGUCCCUGUGUCCUGCCAGCUCAGAGCAGACUUUGUUGCCUUGCUCGUGCUCAGAAGCAUAGCUUGGAUCAAUCUGUGCCCUUCACUGCUGGAAUGAAGCCAAGUGCUGCAGCUGCCCUGCGUCCUGCAACUCACAGACAACUCAUCCACGUGCUUUGUGCACCACCAAACAUGUUCUGCAUGAGUCUGAGCAACCUGUUUCAGCCUGUUCUCCCUCCUACCUGCGAACAAGCCAAGCUCUUGCAUCCAGAGAGCUGAAGAUCUGUUGGAAAGCUGAGCAUUAGUUGGAAAUUGGACAACAGAUGAUGCUCUCCAUGCUGUGCCCUCAUCACUUGUGCCACUGCUGAGCUGAGCUUCCUGAGGAGCAGUACUCACCAAGGCUGGCUGGAGCCAUGUCCUUCAUAUGAUAGAGCCAGGAACAAUGCUUGGAGACAUCCUCAGCUUUGCAAAGCAACCCUAUGUCCUCUGGGCAAGAGGGAUGGGAAUGCAGCUCCAGGGCUCCUACUCAGCAAUCCCUGUUGGUACCCAACAGGACUGGUGCUGCAGCCACAAACCGCUCUGUUUGCAGCAGUGCUUGUGUUGCUGCAAGUCCCAGGAAAGCUCCAGCACUUGGCUGAGCCCCAGGGACAAGGUCCCUGUAUGGGAACAUGGAACCCUCACUGCUCCUUGAUAAAGUCAGCACUGAGUGGGCUUCUCUCUGAUGCCGCUGGGAAAGAAAGGGAAAACAAAACAAAGCAAUGUUGAACUCAGCAGAUGGAGGAAGCUGAGCUUUCUGACUGUUUCUAUGGAGCCCCUCCCAGCACUGGUUUGGAGUGGGUCUGAGCUCCAUCCCUUCCCAGAGGGGUGCCUCUUCCCAUCCCCCUGUAGGACCCACUGUUCUGAUAAUAGGUUGGUGCCACACCACCAGGCAGCCUGCUUAUCUGGCUACCCAGCAAACGAUUUGGAAGAAAAAUCCAUUUUUGACUCAACCAAAUAAAACAUUUUUCAUUUGUUCUUUUUCUUCUCUCUCUCUCUCUCUUUAUAAAAUGUUCUGCGUGAAAUGUUGCCUGAUCAUCCUGCACCUCUCUCAGUUCUGCUCUCAGCUAUCUGUGGGUAGAAGUGGAGGGCAGGAGGUGAUGAUAAGUGACGAAGCUAGAGAGAUGAUUAAAAUGCAGGAGGCAACUUCACCAAACUCAGUCGUAAAAUGAGAUUGUUUUUUCCCCAGAUGAAGCAUUUUGGAGGAUCCAGCCCUUGUCUGUGAUCAGAUUCAGAUGGUGAGGAUCAACCCAUCAUGGGUUGCUGCUCUCUGAGAGUACCCCCAUGUGAGACUGACACCUGCACAGGCAGACAUGGCAUUCCCACUCUGCAGUCCUUGUUUUGCUGCUCUGUGCCAUUCAGGUUUUUCAGAAAUCCAUAGGUGCUGUAACUAUGCAGCUCAAGGCUACCAGGGGCUUCAGCUCUCUUACACAGGAACUUGGGCUUUAGGCCAGUUCUAUCAUUUCUCCAGGAACGAAAAGUUAGAUAUGCUUGAAUUAACAAAAUUCCAAGGCUGUUCUUCCAUCUUUCUACAUUCUUCGUGUUCUAAUCGACCAUUUGGAAAUCCUUUACUCAGAAGGGGAAAAUAAGGAUAGGAGACAUAACACUGAGGGAGAAAGGUGUAUAAACCCUUCCUCUCUACAACUGCAAAAUAGCAAUUGGACUGAUAGAUCUCAUUUUAAAUGCAAACACAGAUUUCUUCCCCAGUCGGCUAAAGAAUCAAAGGACAAACAGUGAAGCCAAAUUUGUAUUGCUUCUGUGACUAUCUUGCAUUUUGCCUCCCGCAUUUUAAUUUUCUCUCUGGCUUCAUCUGCUAAACUGAUGCUGAAAUGUGUUUGGCCUCAUGGUGAUUAUCUUUGCACCACAUCACAGAGAAACAUCAGUCAUUUCCUCUUCUUUGACCUAUUAAACAAUUCUUUCUAGCAUAUUGCUGACUUUGAUCAGAUUGAAAGAAUAUAGUCAACAAGCCUUUUUAAGCUUCCA